rnacentral:ncRNA from 1 species
UUAAGAGGAUGUCAAUGUCAUUACCACAAAUUGUGGAUAUGGGAAUACAUUUGUAGA